AGCGAACGCUGGCGGCAGGCCUAACACAUGCAAGUCGAACGGAUCCUUCGGGAUUAGUGGCGGACGGGUGAGUAACACGUGGGAACGUGCCCUUUUGUUCGGAACAACUCAGGGAAACUUGAGUUAAUACCGGAUAAGCCCUUCGGGGAAAGAUUUAUCGCCAUUGGAGCGGCCCGCGUAGGAUUAGCUAGUUGGUGGGG
rnacentral:rRNA from 1 species